GAUGAAGAACGUAGCGAAACGCGAUAGGUAAUGUGAAUUGCAGAAUUCAGUGAAUCAUCGAGUCUUUGAACGCACAUUGCGCCCCCUGGUAUUCCGGGGGGCAUGCCUGUCCGAGCGUCAUUGCUGCCCUCAAGCACGGCUUGUGUGUUGGGCCCCGUCCCCUCCCCCGGGGACGGGCCCGAAAGGCAGCGGCGGCACCGCGUCCGAUCCUCGAGCGUAUGGGGCUUUGUCACCCGCUCUGUAGGCCCGGCCGGCGCCAGCCGACACCCAACUUUUAUUUCUAAGGUUGACCUCGGAUCAGGUAGGGAUACCCGCUGAACUUAAGCAUAUCAAUAAGCGGAGGA
rnacentral:misc_RNA from 1 species